UACGUAGGGGGCAAGCGUUAUCCGGAUUUACUGGGUGUAAAGGGAGCGUAGACGGCGAUGCAAGCCAGAUGUGAAAGCCCGCGGCUCAACUGCGGUAGUGCAUUUGGAACUGCAUGGCUGGAGUGCGGGAGGGGCAGGCGGAAUUCCUGGUGUAGCGGUGAAAUGCGUAGAUAUCAGGAGGAACACCGGCGGCGAAGGCGGCCUGCUGGACCGCGACUGACGUUGAGGCUCGAAAGCGUGGGGAGCGAACAGG
rnacentral:rRNA from 1 species